CGGAGAUGGCUGUAGAAAGGAGGUGGGCUUGAUAGUUUCUGGCCUCCCUCGCACCGCCCCCACCGUGGUUGCCAGGACAACGCGGCACCUGUCCAACUCACCCCCCUGGAGAGGCCCAGGUGCUGCUGCCAGCUGAUCCCGGGACAUCACUGGGAAGAUGGGAAGUCCAGCAUCCUCUGAACCCUUCAAAUCUCCCAAGAACCUCCUCCAGCCAAAGUGGAGAGGGAGAAAAGACUUAGGCCAAAGUCAAAGAGGGGUCCUCUCUGACCCUCUAAGAAGUUCCUUCACGGGGGAGUUGGGUAAAUGCCACACUUUUCCUCAACUUUCGCAUGAAUCUGGUUCUAAGUAGCUUAGCAGUUCUGAAUGAUUACAGAAACAUGGCCAGUUUUCCUGAGCUCAUCGGAACAUGUACACUGUGAAUUUGAGGCAAUUGGGGUCAAGUGACUUGUCUAGAGUCACACAGCCAGGAAGU
rnacentral:lncRNA from 1 species